UAGGGGGCAAGCGUUAUCCGGAUUUACUGGGUGUAAAGGGAGCGUAGACGGCACUGCAAGUCUGGAGUGAAAGCCCGGGGCUCAACCCCGGGACUGCUUUGGAAACUGUGGUGCUGGAGUGCAGGAGAGGUAAGUGGAAUUCCUAGUGUAGCGGUGAAAUGCGUAGAUAUUAGGAGGAACACCAGUGGCGAAGGCGGCUUACUGGACUGUAACUGACGUUGAGGCUCGAAAGCGUGGGGAGCAAACAGGA
rnacentral:rRNA from 1 species